rnacentral:rRNA from 1 species
UGGGGAAUUUUGGACAAUGGGCGCAAGCCUGAUCCAGCAAUGCCGCGUGAGUGAAGAAGGCCUUCGGGUUGUAAAGCUCUUUUGUCAGGGAAGAAACGGUGGGAGCUAAUAUCUCCUACUAAUGACGGUACCUGAAGAAUAAGCACCGGCUAACUACGUGCCAGCAGCCGCGGUAAUACGUAGGGUGCAAGCGUUAAUCGGAAUUACUGGGCGUAAAGCGUGCGCAGGCGGUUUUGUAAGUCUGUCGUGAAAGCCCCGGGCUCAACCUGGGAAUUGCGAUGGAGACUGCAAGGCUUGAAUCUGGCAGAGGGGGGUAGAAUUCCACGUGUAGCAGUGAAAUGCGUAGAGAUGUGGAGGAACACCGAUGGCGAAGGCAGCCCCCUGGGUCAAGAUUGACGCUCAUGCACGAAAGCGUGGGGAGCAAACAGGAUUAGAUACCCCAGUAGUCCCUGAGCGGGCUGGCAAGGCGCAU